rnacentral:rRNA from 1 species
AGUGAACGCUGGCGGUAGGCCUAACACAUGCAAGUCGAACGGCAGCACAGUAAGAGCUUGCUCUUACGGGUGGCGAGUGGCGGACGGGUGAGGAAUACAUCGGAAUCUACUUUUUCGUGGGGGAUAACGUAGGGAAACUUACGCUAAUACCGCAUACGACCUACGGGUGAAAGCAGGGGAUCUUCGGACCUUGCGCGAUUGAAUGAGCCGAUGUCGGAUUAGCUAGUUGGCGGGGUAAAGGCCCACCAAGGCGACGAUCCGUAGCUGGUCUGAGAGGAUGAUCAGCCACACUGGAACUGAGACACGGUCCAGACUCCUACGGGAGGCAGCAGUGGGGAAUAUUGGACAAUGGGCGCAUGCCUGAUCCAGCCAUACCGCGUGGGUGAAGAAGGCCUUCGGGUUGUAAAGCCCUUUUGUUGGGAAAGAAAAGCAGCAGGUUAAUACCCCGCUAUUCUGACGGUACCCAAAGAAUAAGCACCGGCUAACUUCGUG